rnacentral:rRNA from 1 species
UAAAGAAAGCGUAAUAGCUCACUGGUCGAGUCGGCCUGCGCGGAAGAUGUAACGGGGCUAAACCAUGCACCGAAGCUGCGGCAGCGACACUGUGUGUUGUUGGGUAGGGGAGCGUUCUGUAAGCCUGUGAAGGUGGCCUGUGAGGGUUGCUGGAGGUAUCAGAAGUGCGAAUGCUGGCAUAAGUAACGAUAAAGCGGGUGAAAAGCCCGCUCGCCGGAAGACCAA